rfam:Candidatus Muproteobacteria bacterium RBG_16_65_31 RBG_16_scaffold_36100, whole genome shotgun sequence.
CGCCCCCUGCGGUGCGCGUGUACCGUUCCAGAUAUCCUUUGAACCUAUAGUACAUGUCUCGGGAGCCGGUAUAGCAGAUGCUGUUGUGCAAGUCCGCCUCGUAGCGGAAAGCCUGAUGCAUCUCUGAGGCGCCCACUUGAACCGGACGGUUCAAGGCGAUGGAGCGGCACGGCAUUCGCGGAGGGCGC